rnacentral:rRNA from 1 species
GACAGAGGGUGCAACGUUGUUCGGAUUUACUGGGCGUAAAGCGCGCGCAGGCGGUCUGAAAAGUCUAUGGGUGAAAUGCCGGGGCUCAACCCCGUGCAUGCCCAGGAUACUGUCAGACUGGAGACACGUAGAGGCAAGCGGAAUUUCGGGUGUAGCGGUGGAAUGCGUAGAUAUCCGAAAGAACACCGGAGGCGAAGGCGGCUUGCUGGGCGUGAUCUGACGCUGAGGCGCGAAAGCGUGGGGAGCGAACGGGG